rnacentral:rRNA from 1 species
UGGGAAUUUUGGACAAUGGGGCAACCCUGAUCCAGCAAUGCCGCGUGUGUGAAGAAGGCCUUCGGGUUGUAAAGCACUUUUGUCCGGAAAGAAAUCGCCCUGGCUAAUAUCCGGGGUGGAUGACGGUACUGGAAGAAUAAGCACCGGCUAACUACGUGCCAGCAGCCGCGGUAAUACGUAGGGUGCGAGCGUUAAUUGGAAUUACUGGGCGUAAAGCGUGCGCAGGCGGUUGUGCAAGACAGAUGUGAAAUCCCCGGGCUUAACCUGGGAAUGGCAUUUGUGACUGCACGGCUAGAGUGUGUCAGAGGGGGGUAGAAUUCCACGUGUAGCAGUGAAAUGCGUAGAUAUGUGGAGGAACACCGAUGGCGAAGGCAGCCCCCUGGGAUAACACUGACGCUCAUGCACGAAAGCCGUGGGGGAGCAAACAGGAUUAGAUACCCUGGUAGUCCACGCCCUAAAACGAUGUCAAACUAGUUGUCGGGUCUUAAUUACUUGGUAACGCAGCUAAACGCGUGAAGUUGNCCGCCUGGGGAGUACGGUCGCAAGAUUAAAAACUCAAAUGAAUUGNCGGGGUCAUAGCU